GUUUCUCUUCGCCCUUCUAUUUCACGUUGUAGUAAGAGUCGAUGAUCGCGUCCGCAAGGUAGUCACACUUGGCUAGAUUCAAUCCAGCCAAGGAAAUUCGUCCAUCCUUUGUCAUGUAAACGUGCCAUUUAUCAGUCAUGUUGUCACUCUGGAAAACAUCACAGCGAUCACAGUGAAGAUCCAACCAGGUUUCGAAAACUUCGAGAGCUUUUUACCUGGGACUUGGUGAGGCCUGUGAAGGAGAACAUCCCAAUUUGCUUGAGAAUGAAGGACCAAUCUUUGCCACUCUUGUCCUUUGACAGGAGUGCCUCGUAGAGCUUCUGCCUCACACCCUUGAUCCUGCCCGCCAUCAUCUGCAUCUCUGCCCUCCAUUCGUCGAACAAAACCGAGUCGCC
rnacentral:lncRNA from 1 species